AUUCGUUCCAUUUUCCCGUCGGAAACAACCCUGGCCUUAGGAGGCCAGGCGAUUCUCCGCCGCCUCGUCUCGUCUUCGCUAUGCACCAGCACCUCCGUCGCUCCAACGCCCUGAGCGCCUCCGUCGUUUGAUUCCGGUUUGCUUCUGGUUUCUGCCGCACAAGGGCAUCGACGUCGUGCUCUUCGCGCCGGACGACGCCAAGGCCACGCAGACCGCCGACCCGAACAGGAAGAAGAUCAAGCUCCAUGCAGGGCAUCACCCAAGGCCACGCAGACCGCCGGACGACUCCAAGGCCGGAUCUCCGUGCAGCCGUGCAGGGCAUCACCCACAAGAAGAAGAUCAAGCUCCGGCGAGUACCUCUUUCCAUCUCCUGUCGCUGCCUCUACCAUAUCUAUCUAAAGGAACAAAUUUGAGCGCAUCUUCUGUUGACAGUGACUUUAGUUUGCUAUUGGUGCUCCAGUAAGAAAAAUAGAUGUAUUUUGUUGAUGGUGGCUUCACAAUCUGGCACAUGACUCAUGAAAAGCUUUGUUUGACAAACUAUUGUGAAGGAACAAGUAUACUGUCUUUUACUACUUCAGUUUGCUUGACAAACUAUUGUGAUGAUGGAUAAAGUGUGAUGUGAUGAUGGAUAAACCAA